rnacentral:lncRNA from 1 species
GGGGUCGCCGCCCACGCGCGCUUGGUUCAGGGAGCCCAGGCUGUCCCUACCCGCGGCUACAAAAGCUCGCCGAGUCUUCCUGUCCACCCAAUCGCCCCACAUGUCAGCGGUUGGUCGCCUCGCGGUGCAGUGCUGGGCACGCGAGCCCCUCCCGCAGUCAUUCUCAGCACAAGCACCAGCCUGGAGCCCCGCAGCGACAGAGCUGAGAGCCCCCAAGCCGCAGAGGUCGUGCGGAGCAGAUUUGAUUAAGUGAAACAAAGCCCCAGCUGCUGGAGCAGAGGUUCCACUUGGGUUCCACAGACACCCACAGCCCAAAUCCCUGGAGGCCUAAGGCAAUAGCUAAUUGAGACUAUGCAUCACUAUUAAGGCAUCUUCACUAAAGGGCGCUGUGGAAACGCUGCCUGAGAUGCAGACACCUGUCAGAAGGGGGCUAAAUUUCAAACAAGGAACGUGGUGUUGCAUCACAAUAAAAAGAGGAGACCAAUGGGGAGCAUUGGAAUGAUUUGGUUGCAAGCAUACUACACUACUUGUAAACUGCAGACACAGGCUUAAAAAAAGUGAAAAACUAACCAUGCAAUAAAGAAUGGAAUGAACCAUGAAGCUGUUUCUGUGGCCAGUCAUGUUUUUGAAGCAUAUCCCAUGCUAAUUUCUAGAACAGAAGAAACACACGUGUUCUUGUGUGUAAACCCAGUCCAUGGAAGAGACCGUCUGCUUGUCCCUCCUGAUCUCUGGGCCCAGACAACCAGUAGUCACCAUUCCAAGUGAGGGGUGGCUGCAACUCUACAGCCCCGUUCGUCUCUCCUCACUGUCAAAGCUGCUGAGACCCCAGACUCGACACUUGAAAGAAACCCAUGUCUGUGAAGCACUUGUGGACCAUUCAAGAUUGUGGAAGAAUCACUCAAGAGAAGGAGAUAGGUGAUGGGAUCUAGCUUCUGAUGGUUUCUAUUUUAUUGAAUGUCUAAUAGGGCAAGAAUUUGAAAAACGAGAAUGUUUGCCAUGCAGGAGGACCUGGGAAGGAGAUAACACAUUUACAGGGAGAAAGAUUGGGAUUCAGUUGGGAGGAGUAACUGAGGAAAGGGGUCACUCAAAAUAUUUUGUAUUUUAGGUCCUUUUUCUAUUAAGGAGGAAUGGAUUAUCAAAGCCUUAACAUUAAAUUGUAUUGUGUCAGGUGAAUUGCUAUGGUUUGAAUGUGGUGUGUCCCCCUCCCAAACUCACAUUGAAUUUUUUUUUUUUUUUUUGAGACGGAGUCUCGCUCUGUUGCCCAGGCUGGAGUGCAGUGGUGCGAUCUUGGCUCACUACAAGCUCUGCCUCCCGGGUUCAAGAGAUUCUCCUGCCUCAGCCUCCCGAGUAGCUGGGAUUACAGAUGUUCGUCACCACACCUGGCUAAUUUUUGUAUUUUUAAUAGAGAUGGGGUUUCACUAUGUUGGCUAGGCUGGUCUCAAACUCCCGACAUCAGGUGAUCCACCCACCUCGGCCUCCCAAAGUGCUGGGAUUAGAGGAGUGAGCCACUGCACCCAGCCUCACGUUGAGGUUUAAUUGCCAUUGUAACAGUAUAAAGAUGUGGGACCUUUACGAGGUGAUUAGGCAAUGAGGACUCUGCCCUCAUGAAUGGAUUAAUGCUGUUAUCAUGGGAGUGGAUUCCUUAUAAAGGGACACGUUCAGCACCCCCUUGCUCUCUCUCUCACCUUCCGCCAUAUGAUGAUGGGGCACAAAGGCCAUCAUCAGAUGUUGGCCCCUUGUUCUCGAACUUCCCAACCUCCAGAGCAGUAAAAAAAUAAAUCACUGUUCUUUACAAAUGGCCCAGUCUCAGAUAUUC